GAGUUUGAUCCUGGCUCAGGAUGAACGCUGGCGGCGUGCUUAACACAUGCAAGUCGAACGGAGUUUUUAAACGGAGGUUUCGGAUGGAAGUUUAGAAACUUAGUGGCGGACGGGUGAGUAACGCGUGGGUAACCUGCCUCAUACAGGGGGAUAACAGUUAGAAAUGACUGCUAACACCGCAUAAUAUAGCGAAACCGCAUGAUUUUUGCUAUCAAAUAUUUAUAGGUAUGAGAUGGGCCCGCGUCUGAUUAGCUAGUUGGUGGGGUAAAAGCCUACCAAGGCGACGAUCAGUAGCCGGCUUGAGAGAGUGACCGGCCACAUUGGGACUGAGACACGGCCCAAACUCCUACGGGAGGCAGCAGUGGGGAAUAUUGGACAAUGGGGGAAACCCUGAUCCAGCCGACGCCGCGUGAGUGAAGAAGUAUUUCGGUAUGUAAAGCUCUAUCAGCAGGGAAGAUAAUGACAGUACCUGACUAAGAAGCCCCGGCUAACUACGUGCCAGCCGCGGC
rnacentral:rRNA from 1 species